GAUGAAGAACGUAGCGAAAUGCUAUAAGUAAUGCGAAUUGCAGAAUUUCCGUGAGUCAUCGAAUCUUUGAACGCACAUUGCGCCCACUGGUAUUCCGGUGGGCAUGCCUGUUCGAGCGUCAUUAUCCUCCCUCAAACCCCGGGUUUGGUGUUGGACCCAAGUUGUGUGAACAACUGGUCUCAAAGACAAUGACGGCGUCCGUGGGACCCUCGGUGCAACGAGCUUUUAGGAGCACGCAUCGAGUUGCAAGGACCUUCCGGGCCGGUCUCCUUUACCAUUUUACAAGGUUGACCUCGGAUCAGGUAGGAAUACCCGCUGAACUUAAGCAUAUCAAUAAGCGGAGGA
rnacentral:misc_RNA from 1 species